rnacentral:lncRNA from 13 species
AUGAAAGUACCGAUACCUGCGAUGGCGAUUCUGGAGGAUCUCUGACACGUUAUCACAACGGAGCUUUCACUUUAUACGGGAUAACUAGUUGGAGUCAACAUUGCGGCAAUGCGAAUAGACCUGGAGUUUACGUCUGUGCAGCGCAUUAUCGUCGUUGGAUCGAUCAAAAAAUUAGAGAAUCGUUAGCAGGUAGAUAGAAUGUCGAAACUAAAAUUUAAAGUUACACAUAACCGUUUAUGUUGCUCUUAUUAUUUUUCCCAAAACGCAAAACAACAUUAGUUGUAAAUGAUAAAUAUUCUAGCGUCAUUUGUAAAUAAGAUUCCUUUUUUGUCAUAUCCAUUUUUUCGAUCCUUUUAUUAAUUCAUCCUUACACGCAUUUCAAUGUAAAUACUUGCAAAAUAAAACGUAAGUACAUCUGUUACAAAAUAUAGAAAUAACAAUAAAAUAGUCAAAGUAAUUCUGUUAAUUUGCCGUUUAUUUCAUAAGACAUCUUCAUUUCUACAGUAAUGGUAAUUGCUGAUUUUCUAUGGCUUUUACAUGAUUGAGCCUAUUUUUUAUGUACAAUAGUCCUAAUAUAUAUAUUUGAUCCAAUUCGAUCCACGGUGACAAUUCAACUUGGCAUUUAUACAAAUUAAAUAGAAGAUGUACAUAUACAAUCGCAGAAAAAAAUGUGUUUCCAAUGUAAACUUAAGCUGUGAAUAACAUUAUACUGUUACGACUGAUCUAUCAUCAGAGUAGCUGAUCAAACGAAAACUAAAAUUGUUCGCUCAUUAAAUUACUUCUUGCAACAUUGGUUUUCUUAAAAAGCACAUAAACAGAAAAACGAAAAGGAUACUGUAAAUAAUGUUAUUCAUAUAAUUGUGUACAUAUACUAAACAUCUCGGCGAAGAUGUAAUAUUGUACUCUCUUCUGUAAUAAAAUUGAUAUAUAUUUAUUUACAACGAAA